UACAGAGGGGGCAAGCGUUAUUCGGAAUUAUUGGGCGUAAAGGGCGCGUAGGCGGCCUGGCAAGUGGAAGGUGAAAUCCCUCGGCUUAACCGAGGAACUGCCCUCCAAACUGCUUGGCUUGAGUCCGGGAGAGGUGAGUGGAAUUCCCAGUGUAGCGGUGAAAUGCGUAGAUAUUGGGAAGAACACCGGUGGCGAAGGCGGCUCACUGGCUCAUUUCUGACGCUCAGGCGCGACAGCGUGGGGAUCAAACAGG
rnacentral:rRNA from 1 species